AGAUUGAACGCUGGCGGCAGGCCUAACACAUGCAAGUCGAGCGGCAGCACGGGUACUUGUACCUGGUGGCGAGCGGCGGACGGGUGAGUAAUGCCUAGGAAUCUGCCUGGUAGUGGGGGAUAACGCUCGGAAACGGACGCUAAUACCGCAUACGUCCUACGGGGGAAGCAGGGGACCUUCGGGCCUUGCGCUAUCAGAUAAGCCUAGGUCGGAUUAGCUAGUUGGUGAGGUAAUGGCUCACCAAGGCGACGAUCCGUAACUGGUCUGAGAGGAUGAUCAGUCACACUGGAACUGAGACACGGUCCAGACUCCUACGGGAGCAGCAGUGGGAAUAUUGGACAAUGGGACGAAAGCCUGAUCCAGCCAUGCCGCGUGUGUGAAGAAGGUCUUCGGAUUGAAAGCAACGUUUAAGUGGGAGGAAGGUCAAUUUAACCUAAUACGUAAGUUAGUUUGACGUUAACGACUAAGAAUUAAGCACCGGCUAACGUCUAGU
rnacentral:rRNA from 1 species